UGCUACCGUAUAAUACGUUACACAUUUUUGUUACUUCCAUUGUUAGAAAUGUUCGGAAUUUAUAUAGAAAUAAAAUGAUCAUUUAGCACACAAUGGGAGGAGGGUGGUGACAGUCGGAAGAGACAGACAAUGUAAAAUGACAGGUGCUAAAAAUGAUAAUUUUCUAACGGAAAUUGAGUACGCACCUAAAACUGUUUCUAAUAUUGUUUGUUAACUUUCAAAGUCCAUUACAGAAGCGCAUUAACGUGUCUGGAAUGUUUUCAGGAAACACUAAAACCAUCGGUGAAUACGAACACAGUCCAACAUGGUAAAAUAAAAAAGGAUUUUCUUUAUGAGAUAUGGAAGAGGUGCGGCGGUAAUUAAUGUGGGUAGGUAGAUUAUACCUCAACGCUUGCCUACUUAGGCAGUUCAGUUUACUGUACAAGAACUGUUAAUUUCGGCCUUCAGUGAGUUCUGUGUAUCAUUUAAGUCAACCCCUUUUAUGUAAUUUAUCAUUAAUAGCUAUUCAUUAUAA